rnacentral:misc_RNA from 1 species
GGACGUCAUCCCCACCUUCCUCCGGUUUGUCACCGGCAGUCUCCCUAGAGUGCUCUUGCGUAGCAACUAGGGACAAGGGUUGCGCUCGUUGCGGGACUUAACCCAACAUCUCACGACACGAGCUGACGACAGCCAUGCAGCACCUGUGUUAUGGCUCCCUUUCGGGCACCCCCACCUCUCAGCAGGGUUCCAUACAUGUCAAGGGUAGGUAAGGUUUUUCGCGUUGCAUCGAAUUAAUCCACAUCAUCCACCGCUUGUGCGGGUCCCCGUCAAUUCCUUUGAGUUUUAAUCUUGCGACCGUACUCCCCAGGCGGUCAACUUCACGCGUUAGCUACGUUACCAAGUCAAUGAAGACCCGACAACUAGUUGACAUCGUUUAGGGCGUGGACUACCAGGGUAU